rnacentral:rRNA from 1 species
UACGUAGGGGGCAAGCGUUGUCCGGAUUUAUUGGGCGUAAAGAGCGUGUAGGCGGCCAUGCAGGUCCGUUGUGAAAACUCGAGGCUCAACCUCGAGACGUCGAUGGAAACCGCACGGCUAGAGUCCGGAAGAGGAGAGUGGAAUUCCUGGUGUAGCGGUGAAAUGCGCAGAUAUCAGGAAGAACACCCGUGGCGAAGGCGGAUCUCUGGGCCUGUCCUGACGCUGAGGCGCGAAAGCUAGGGGGAGCGAACAGG